rnacentral:rRNA from 1 species
CAGUCGCCACGGUAAUACGAAGGGUGCAAGCGUUAAUCGGAAUUACUGGGCGUAAAGCGUGCGUAGGCGGUGAGUUUAGUCUGCUGUGAAAUCCCCGGGCUCAACCUGGGAAUGGCAGUGGAUACUGGCUCGCUAGAGUGUGUCAGAGGAUGGUGGAAUUCCCGGUGUAGCGGUGAAAUGCGUAGAGAUCGGGAGGAACAUCAGUGGCGAAGGCGGCCAUCUGGGACAACACUGACGCUGAGGCACGAAAGCGUGGGGAGCAAACAGGAUUAGAUACCCCUGUAGUCCCUGUCUCUUAUAC